UUCCCCUGCCGGAGGCUCUUCAACCUUACCAGGAUUGAUUGUCGUCGCGCAUACUUCCGCUCGUAAGAUUGAGGAGCUUUCAGCAGGGGAA